UGSUUACCAUGCAAGUCGAACGAUGAUCCCAGCUUGCUGGGGGAUUAGUGGCGAACGGGUGAGUAACACGUGAGUAACCUGCCCUUAACUCUGGGAUAAGCCUGGGAAACUGGGUCUAAUACCGGAUAUGACUCCUCAUCGCAUGGUGGGGGGUGGAAAGCUUUAUUGUGGUUUUGGAUGGACUCGCGGCCUAUCAGCUUGUUGGUGAGGUAAUGGCUCACCAAGGCGACGACGGGUAGCCGGCCUGAGAGGGUGACCGGCCACACUGGGACUGAGACACGGCCCAGACUCCUACGGGAGGCAGCAGUGGGGAAUAUUGCACAAUGGGCGAAAGCCUGAUGCAGCGACGCCGCGUGAGGGAUGACGGCCUUCGGGUUGUAAACCUCUUUCAGUAGGGAAGAAGCGAAAGUGACGGUACCUGCAGAAGAAGCGCCGGCUAACUACGUGCCAGCAGCCGCGGUAAUACGUAGGGCGCAAGCGUUAUCCGGAAUUAUUGGGCGUAAAGAGCUCGUAGGCGGUUUGUCGCGUCUGCCGUGAAAGUCCGGGGCUCAACUCCGGAUCUGCGGUGGGUACGGGCAGACUAGAGUGAUGUAGGGGAGACUGGAAUUCCUGGUGUAGCGGUGAAAUGCGCAGAUAUCAGGAGGAACACCGAUGGCGAAGGCAGGUCUCUGGGCAUUAACUGACGCUGAGGAGCGAAAGCAUGGGGAGCGAACAGGAUUAGAUACCCUGGUAGUCCAUGCCGUAAACGUUGGGCACUAGGUGUGGGGGACAUUCCACGUUUUCCGCGCCGUAGCUAACGCAUUAAGUGCCCCGCCUGGGGAGUACGGCCGCAAGGCUAAAACUCAAAGGAAUUGACGGGGGCCCGCACAAGCGGCGGAGCAUGCGGAUUAAUUCGAUGCAACGCGAAGAACCUUACCAAGGCUUGACAUGAACCGGAAACACCUGGAAACAGGUGCCCCGCUUGCGGUCGGUUUACAGGUGGUGCAUGGUUGUCGUCAGCUCGUGUCGUGAGAUGUUGGGUUAAGUCCCGCAACGAGCGCAACCCUCGUUCUAUGUUGCCAGCGCGUGAUGGCGGGGACUCAUAGGARACUGCCGGGUCACUCGGAGGAAG
rnacentral:rRNA from 1 species